GGAGGGUAUGCGAAUUGGUGAGCGGUCUGAUUCGAAAUCAGAUGCCGGGCAACCGGUUGAGGGUUCGAGUCCCUUGCCCUCCG
rnacentral:tRNA from 1 species